GGUGGGGUACUAUUCAGUGGUAGAGUGCAUGCUUAGCAUGCAUAAGGUCCUGGGUUCAAUCCUCAGCAUCUCCA
rnacentral:tRNA from 1 species